rnacentral:rRNA from 1 species
GAUGAACGCUAGCGGCAGGCCUAAUACAUGCAAGUCGAACGGUGUCUUCGGACAUAGUGGCGCACGGGUGCGUAACACGUAUGCAACCUACCUUACAUUGGGGGAUAGCCUUUCGAAAGGGAGAUUAAUACCGCAUAAGACAGUAGCUGGGCAUCCAGCAGCUGUUAAAGAUUUAUCGAUGUAAGCUGGGCAUGCGUCCAAUUAGCUAGUUGGUGAAGUAACGGCUCACCAAGGCAAUGAUUGGUAGGGGAACUGAGAGGUCAAUCCCCCACACUGGCACUGAGAUACGGGCCAGACUCCUACGGGGGGCAGCAGUAGGGAAUAUUGGGCAAUGGACGCAAGUCUGACCCAGCCAUGCCGCGUGCAGGAUGAAGGCGUUAUGCGUUGUAAACUGCUUUUAUACAGGAAGAAACGACUCUUGCGAGAGGCAUUGACGGUACUGUAUGAAUAAGCACCGGCUAACUCCGUGCCAGCAGCCGCUGUAAGAC